UAGAAAAUAAGUGGCCAAACUUAAUGACUA
rnacentral:piRNA from 1 species